GCUGGCGGCAGGCCUAACACAUGCAAGUCGCGGUAGCACAGAGAGCUUGCUCUCGGGUGACGAGCGGCGGACGGGUGAGUAAUGUCUGGGAAACUGCCUGAUGGAGGGGGAUAACUACUGGAAACGGUAGCUAAUACCGCAUAACGUCGCAAGACCAAAGUGGGGGACCUUCGGGCCUCAUGCCAUCAGAUGUGCCCAGAUGGGAUUAGCUAGUAGGUGGGGUAACGGCUCACCUAGGCGACGAUCCCUAGCUGGUCUGAGAGGAUGACCAGCCACACUGGAACUGAGACACGGUCCAGACUCCUACGGGAGGCAGCAGUGGGGAAUAUUGCACAAUGGGCGCAAGCCUGAUGCAGCCAUGCCGCGUGUGUGAAGAAGGCCUUCGGGUUGUAAAGCACUUUCAGCGGGGAGGAAGGCGGUGAGGUUAAUAACCUU
rnacentral:rRNA from 1 species